rnacentral:miRNA from 1 species
AGCUGUGUCAUAUGUUGCCAAU